UAAGGAAUAUUGGACAAUGGAGGCAACUCUGAUCCAGCCAUGCCGCGUGAAGGAGUAAGGCCCUAUGGGUUGUAAACUUCUUUUAGACGGGACAAAACCCCUUUACGUGUAAAGGGUUGAUGGUACUGUCAGAAUAAGCAUCGGCUAACUUCGUGCCAGCAGCCGCGGUAAUACGAAGGAUGCAAGCGUUAUCCGGAAUUAUUGGGUUUAAAGGGUGCGUAGGCGGACUAAUAAGUCAGUGGUGAAAGCCUGCAGCUUAACUGCAGAAUUGCCAUUGAUACUGUUAGUCUUGAGUACAGUUGAGGUAGGCGGAAUGUGUCAUGUAGCGGUGAAAUGCUUAGAUAUGACACAGAACACCGAUUGCGAAGGCAGCUUGCUAAGCUGUAACAGACGCUGAGGCACGAAAGCGUGGGGAGCAAACA
rnacentral:rRNA from 1 species